GAUUGCCUCAGUAACGGCGAGUGAAGCGGCAAAAGCUCAAAUUUUAAAGCUGGCACCUUCGGUGUCCGCGUUGUAAUUUUGUGAGGCAUCUCCGGGUAGGGCGCCGGCCUAAGUUCCUUGGAACAGGACGUCAUAGAGGGUGAGAAUCCCGUGCUUGGCUGGCUGUCCCUGUCCAUGUGAGGUGUCUUCGACGAGUCGAGUUGUUUGGGAAUGCAGCUCAAAAUGGGUGGUAAAUUUCAUCUAAAGCUAAAUAUUGGUGGGAGACCGAUAGCGCACAAGUAGAGUGAUCGAAAGAUGAAAAGCACUUUGAAAAUAGAGUUAAAAAGUACGUGAAAUUGUUGAAAGGGAAGCGCUUGAGACCAGACUUCGGUGGGGAGUGAUCAGCUGUCCUUCUGGGCGGUGCACUUGCUCCCCUCCGGGCCAGCAUCGGUUGGGACGGCGGGAUAAAGGUCCCGGGAAUGUGGCUCCUCUCGGGGAGUGUUAUAGCCCGGGUGAAUGCCGCCAGCCCCGACCGAGGACCGCGCCUUCGGGCUAGGAUG
rnacentral:rRNA from 1 species